CGUACACUCCUACGGGAGGCAGCAGUGGGGAAUAUUACACAAUGGGCGCAAGCCUGAUGCAGCCAUGCCGCGUGUAUGAAGAAGGCCUUCGGGUUGUAAAGUACUUUCAGCGGGGAGGAAGGCGAUAAGGUUAAUAACCUUGUUGAUUGACGUUACCCGCAGAAGAAGCACCGGCUAACUCCGUGCCAGCAGCCGCGGUAAUACGGAGGGUGCAAGCGUUAAUCGGAAUUACUGGGCGUAAAGCGCACGCAGGCGGUCUGUCAAGUCGGAUGUGAAAUCCCCGGGCUCAACCUGGGAACUGCAUUCGAAACUGGCAGGCUAGAGUCUUGUAGAGGGGGGUAGAAUUCCAGGUGUAGCGGUGAAAUGCGUAGAGAUCUGGAGGAAUACCGGUGGCGAAGGCGGCCCCCUGGACAAAGACUGACGCUCAGGUGCGAAAGCGUGGGGAGCAAACAGGAUUAGAUACCCCUGUAGUCCC
rnacentral:rRNA from 1 species